ACUGGUGGCGAUGCGCUUGAGGGUAACACCCGUUCCCAUCCCGAACACGAUGGUUAAGACUCAAGCGGCCGAUGGUACUUCACUGGAGACGGUGCGGGAGAGUAGGUGGCCGCCAAAU
rnacentral:rRNA from 1 species